UCCUGAUCCUGCCUGCCUGCUUUCUCUUCCUCCUUCCUUGCAUCCGUUUCAUCCGUUUCUCCCCCUUCCUUUCAGACUCAUUCUUGUUCUUCUCUUAGAUCGCUUUUCCUCAACCACAGCCGGCCAACUCCCCCUCCCCAAGACAGUCAGACUCAGAUUGCAGUUGGAAAACGUAUCACUUAAGAGAAAGCUCUUCCAAGGGAAAGAAUCGAAUUGAAGUGAAUGGGAGAUCGGAGGAGAGGGAGACCCCGCCCCGAUAGUCCAAAACAAGCUGUAACAAAGCAAAGUCCACGGGAGCUUCACGCUCAAGCCUCCAACCUGGCGGUGGGCACCAAAGCAGAAGUUCUCCCAACUCAAGCUAAGAAUAGGAGCCAGGGCCAGGGCCAGGUACCUGCGGUCCGACCCGGCCUGACGGCGGCGGCGUACUGAGAGCCAGUGGGGACUGUAGCCGGGACCGCGGAACUGCUGGAGGGUGACCACGAGGAAGUGGAGGAAGCCAAGCCUCAGCUCAGCACUGGCAGCAAGCACUUACCUGAUUCCAGGGAAUCGGAGUCCAGCGGCGGCAGGAGAGGCUUUGUUGCCAAGUAGGACGGCGGGCAAAGGGGUCCUUCAAGUUUCUGCGCUGGAGUCACAACCCAAGAGGCAUCACCGUCUGGCGUUAGUGUCUGAGAAGCCGCAGGAAUGAGCAGGAGCAGCAGGAGGAGCUGGAGGACUUGUUUGCUGAGGCCAGUAUUCUGUUUAAAAGUUUGCAGACGCACGGAACUAGGAGGAAGCGUGACAGGGAGAGAAGGGGGCGAGAGAGAUGUAGAAGGAAGAAAGAGGAGGCGAGGAGCUCAAGUGGGGGGUAGGGGA